rnacentral:rRNA from 1 species
UACGAAGGGGGCUAGCGUUGUUCGGAAUUACUGGGCGUAAAGCGCACGUAGGCGGAUAUUUAAGUCAGGGGUGAAAUCCCAGAGCUCAACUCUGGAACUGCCUUUGAUACUGGGUAUCUCGAGUCCGAGAGAGGUGAGUGGAAUUCCGAGUGUAGAGGUGAAAUUCGUAGAUAUUCGGAGGAACACCAGUGGCGAAGGCGGCUCACUGGCUCGGUACUGACGCUGAGGUGCGAAAGCGUGGGGAGCAAACAGG